UUAACUGCCCUGAAAACCCAAGUCCUCUGUUUUUAUCAACAAAACAGGUUCAGUAAAGGCACAAGGAAUAUAAGCUUCCCCGUCCUGCUCAAUCAAUAUGCCUCAACCCUGACCUGAAAGAAUAUCUCUAAGGGCAAAGACAUUUGUUAAAUUUCUUUUCCAAUUAAUUUGACAGCUCU
rnacentral:sRNA from 1 species